AUGGAUGCCUACAUGAAUUUAGCUGCAAGUGCUGCUGAUGCAGCUGAGUACUUCAAGGAUCAGAAAGGUCCCAAAGUGGAAAAGCUGUUCUGGUCACAGUUUCACGCUCCAAUCCGUCCGCUGCUGUUGAAUGAGCCAUUGGCCGAGUGGGCCGAGCUCCAUAGGUUGUCCGGACUUGCCAUGAGGUCCGUUGUGGAUCACCUGUGGCCGGGAAGGCCAAGGCCGAAUAGCUACUUUAGUUUAGUGCAACAAUUCCUUGGUGUUGUGCCACGCAUCGAUGCUGUAAAGAGAUCGGCGUGCAUAGAGGGUGCGCGGAUGGCCUUUUCCCGUGUCAAGACAUACUGGGCGGAGAUGGAGGCCACCAUUGUUGCGACACAGGGUUCGGCCGUAGGCCGAGUAGCUGCCGAGCACUACUCUGAAGAAGUUCUUGAAGGCGCUCGUUCGAUAGAGGCUCAGUGCUUGAAGAAUAUUAUGUUCUAG
rnacentral:rRNA from 1 species